rnacentral:rRNA from 1 species
CCUUAGAUGUUCUGGGCCGCACGCGCGCUACACUGACAGAGCCAACGAGUAUAAACCUUGACCGAGAGGUUUGGGUAAUCUUGUUAAACUCUGUCGUGCUGGGGAUAGAGCAUUGCAAUUAUUGCUCUUCAACGAGGAAUAUCUAGUAAGCGCAAGUCAUCAGCUUGCGUUGAUUACGUCCCUGCCCUUUGUACACACCGCCCGUCGCUACUACCGAUUGAAUGGCUCAGUGAGGCCUUCGGACUGGCUCAGGGAGGUCGGCAACGACCACCCAGAGCCGGAAAGUUGGACAAACUUGGUCAUUUAGAGGAAGUAAAAGUCGUAACAAGGUUUGGAACGAGAUCCUUCUGCAGUGACGCUCACGAGAAGCCUUUGCGGCCCCGCAAGGGGUACCAACCGCGACUGAAAAUAAAGCAUGUUGGCAUCAAAUCGCAAGUCGGUCCGCUUGAAUUGCGACCGGCCACACUUUCGAACUGCGGGGACGUCCUAAAGCUCACCUCCACCAAACCGGCUGGGAAACCUGACCGGUGGCCUCUGUUAACUGCAUUGGGUAUGGUAAGAGCGAGGUGAGAUUUUGCAAUGGACAAUCCGCAGCCAAGUCCCUAAAGCGCUUCGUUCGCCAUGGGAAAGGUUCACAGACUAAGUGGAAGUGGGUUGGAUUCCGGUCCAGCUUAAGAUAUAGUCGGGCCCCUUUGGAAACUCUGGGGGGUCACAAAAUCAACCGACAAACUGUUCCGUAGGUGGUAAGUAACUUACUCCUGUUCAGCAAACCAGACAAACUAGGAAAUCGCAUGCUAACUUUUAUUCUUUUAGAACCUGCGGAAGGAUCAUUAAAAAUCCCAAAGCUUUAGCUUGGUCCGGUUGGGUCAAACCUUCCGGGCGUGCUAUUUCUACCCAUUGUGAACCAAAAAACCUUUUCGCUUCGGUAGCAGGUCGGUUGGGUUGAACCCCUUCUGCGCCGUCAGCCUGCCGGUAGCACCCAACCAAACUUAUAUUCUGAACAACCAGUCUUGAAUUGAAAUCAUUAUCGAAUGAAAUCAAAACUUUCAACAACGGAUCUCUUGGUUCCCGCAUCGAUGAAGAACGCAGCGAAACGCGAUAGUUAAUGUGAAUUGCAGAAUUCAGUGAAUCAUCGAGUCUUUGAACGCACAUUGCGCCCAUUGGUAUUCCAUUGGGCAUGCCUGUUUGAGCGUCAUUGCAACCCCUUCGGCGGCAGCUUUUUCAGCUGCAAGGUCGGUUUUGGGUCCCGCUUGCUGCCGGUUUUACCGGUGCGGCGGGCUCUAAAGUUGCACGCUCUGCGGGCCAGCUGCCUGAACGAACAUAGUAGAAUCGAACUGUUCGCAACGGCUUUGUUGGCUCCGCCUGAACAAAAAACCCAUUCCAAGGUUUGACCUCAGAUCAGGUAAGGAUACCCGCUGAACUUAAGCAUAUCAAUAAGCGGAGGAAAAGAAACCAACAGGGAUUGCCUCAGUAACGGCGAGUGAAGCGGCAACAGCUCAAAUUUGAAAUCUGGAGUCUUCGACUUCCGAGUUGUAAUUUGAAGAGGAUGCUUCGAGGUUGGCCACGGUUCAAGUUCCUUGGAACAGGAUGUCAUAGAGGGUGAGAGUCCCGUUUGGCUAGUGGUCUUUCUUCAUGUGUAGCUCCUUCGAAGAGUCGAGUUGUUUGGGAAUGCAGCUCAAAAUGGGUGGUAAAUUUCAUCUAAAGCUAAAUAUUGGCGGGAGACCGAUAGCGCACAAGUAGAGUGAUCGAAAGAUGAAAAGCACUUUGAAAAGAGAGUUAAACAGUACGUGAAAUUGUUGAAAGGGAAGCGCUUGCAAUCAGAUCUGCUUUGGGUUGAUCAACGUUCCUUCUGGUUCGUGCACUCUGCCCUUCGCAGGCCAGCAUCGGUUGGAGCGGCGGGACAAAGGCUGCGGGAAUGUGGCUCCCCCGGGAGUGUUAUAGCCCGCUGCGUCAUGCCGUCUGCACCGACCGAGGUCCGCGCUAACGCUAGGAUGCUGGCUUAAUGGUUGUAAGCGGC